rnacentral:lncRNA from 1 species
AUGGCAUGUCAGUCUCAAAGGCCGAGAAGUCAGAUCACGACAUAGUGAGCUGUACUCUCCUCCAUCCGCAGUUCCUGCUGAAGCAACCAGCCAAACUGCAGUAUGCUCCUACUUCAGCUUUUGACGAUAUCAACUCCAACUCUGCUGACUGGGACUCCAUCAACAAUGCACUUCUUGCUGUAGACUGGUCUACAGUCGUCAAUCCAACGACACCACAAGAUGUUGCUUGGGACAUGUUUGAAGGUAUCAUCGUCCAAGUUUGCAAGAAGCAUGCUCCUUCACACAACCACAACCGCCAAGCCGCCGCAUCCUCAUCCUCUUCAAAGAUCCCCAAGUCCCGAAGAGCUCUCCUCCGUAAAAAGAAGCGCCUCAACGCUAGGAUCAACUCUAUCAAGUACAGAUUCGCAGGCCCUGCUCCUCCACGAAACGUCACCAAGCUUCAAAAACUUAAUGACGAGAGAGCUGCCAUUGAGCUGCUUCUGAAAGCAGACAUCAAGCAGCAACGCCUGGGAGACGAAUUAGCUGCCAUCAGCAAAAUAAAGACCAACCCCAAGGCCUUUUACUCCUUUGCAAAGAAGUCAAAGUCUCCUGUCUCCUCUGUUGGCCCCCUACUGGACAGUGACGACCAGCUCCAGUCAGAUCCCGUUAGAAUGGGCAGUAUAUUGCAGGAGCAAUAUGCAAAGGCAUUUAGCAACCCCGAAAAAGCUAACCUCGCUGAGGUUCGUGUAUCCAAGCUUGUCGCCCAGUCAGAGUUGAUAACGGAUAUUGACUUUGACGAGCACGAUGUCCUUGAUGCUAUCAAAGCAAUGGGCCGCUACUCAGCUGCUGGCCCGGAUAAGUUCCCAGCCCUCAUCCUCAAGGAAUGUGGAACCGUGCUAGCCCCAGUAGUCACUCAGCUCUGAAGAUCAUCACUCAACUCUGGAGAAAUAGCGACAAAGUUCAAGAGUCAAAGCGUGAUUCCUCUGUUCAAAAAGGGAAAAAGAUCGGUAGCUGCCAACUAUCGACCUGUCUCCCUAACAUCUCAUCUCAUCAAGAUGUUCGAACGGGUCUUCCGUGCUAAGUUGGUUGAUUUUAUUGAAUCCAAGGAUAUCAUCAAUCAAGAUCAGCAUGGCUUCCGAGCUGGAAGAAGCUGCCUGACCCAACUCCUUCACCAUGUUGAGGACAUCAUGUGUGAUUUGAAUGCUGACGAGAACGCUGACAUCCUCUAUCUGGAUUUCAGUAAAGCAUUUGACAAAGUCGAUCA